UACGUAGGGGGCAAGCGUUGUCCGGAAUCAUUGGGCGUAAAGCGCGCGUAGGCGGCCCGGUAAGUCCGCUCUGAAAGUCCAGGGCUCAACCCUGGAAAGCGGGUGGAUACUGCCGGGCUAGAAUCCGGAAGAGGCGAGUGGAAUUCCGGGUGUAGCGGUGGAAUGCGUAGAGAUCCGGAAGAACACCGGUGGCGAAGGCGGCCUGCUGGGACAGUGCUGACGCUGAAGCGCGACAGCGUGGGGAGCAAACAGG
rnacentral:rRNA from 1 species